UCCAUCGCUCAUCAUCACAUGCUUCAAACAUUCAAAUCAAAACAUCAACUCAGCUCCCUCACUUGAAGACCUUCCUCCUUCGCACUGGAAAUCGCCUCUGCCGGUGGCGGAGGGCCGAACCUUACGAAAUAUAUACCAUUUCCUUCCUCCCAAUGAGCUCUACCUAAAUCCCUCAUUAAUCUUUUCCAAUUUUUGUUCAUCCAUCCAAAUUGAAUGACACAGAUUAAGAACCCUAGGAAACGAAAUUCAAAUUAAAUUUCCACAUUGCGUGAUUCAACCUACCAACUUAGGGACAUCCCUUCUCAGCCUCCACUCAAGCAAUGCAUAACAAUAAUUUGGGAAGAAAGGAAGAACGUUCGAAGACCUACCAAAGCAGAUUCAGAGAUGGCAAUGAACCCAGGUACUUUACAAUUCUCCUAUUUCUCUGCUCUUCGACUGCUCCCUCUUCUUCCUUCUAUCUUCUUGCUCCUUCUUCUCUAUGACUCUGUAGAAGCGAUUGGUUUGCGCGUGAGAGCUUGAUGGUUGGAAGCUUAGCACAAGUCAAUUGAAGCUCUGAUGAUGAGGUUCAAUGGCUUCUAGGGAAUGCCUAUAAGUAAGGUUGAGAGAGAAAUCUCCAGAGGAGAUCAAGAGAGAAAAAUCUGUGAAAUGAAGGUUCCCCUCAACUUGGUGGUGGCGAUCUGAAAUUUAUAGACUUCUCUCUCUUGCAUUCUGUUAGAAAUCCAAUCCAAAUGCAGGGUUUAUUUGGUCAAGUACCAGGUGAUAGUAGGUAUGCAUUGCCUGAAUGUCUGCUCAAUUGCAUUUCUAUUUGAUGGUGCUUGAUGCUAUGGAUUUUUCUUUGCACCAUUGCCAGUUCUACAAGCAUGUUUGGAGUUUGUUUUUGUUGACCAUUGCAAGUCCAUUAAAACUUUGACAUGUGCAUAUGUGUGGUUCUACAGUGGGAAUUCUACAAGAUGGUUGUAGCAAGUAUUAUGGUGUAUGAUUUGCUGCAGGUUUUGAUCUUUCUCAUGUUACAGGCAUGUUUAUUAGUUAUGCAUGAUGACUUGCUACAGGACCCUAAUGACUAUCUAAUGACUUGGUUAGAUUUCUGUAGGUUUUAUGUGUUGAAUGGGUCUGUUGUGGCUCGAUGGUGAUGCAGGCUUGGAAAUGUUGGACUAACAUGCUAAGUCAUGGUUUCAUGGAGGGUGGUGGUUGAACCAAGGUUGUAUGACAUCAAAAAUGGAUUUUGGAUUAUCAUGUGCAAAAGGCAAACUCCAAGAUCAAGGAUCAAAGAUUCAAGAUUAGGAAUGGAAUUAGAAUUGGGAUUUAGGGUUUUAGGACUUUUGGGAAAAAAGGGUUGAGUUGACAUUUGAACCAAAAAGUCAACUAUUGACCAAAGUUAACAUUUGGUCAACAUGUCAAUUUUGUGUAGUUUUUCAUGUAAUGGAUAUCUUAUGACUUGUAAUGGUGGAAAUUAAUAUUUAUGAAUAGAAUUGGCACUUUGAAUUAA